rnacentral:lncRNA from 1 species
UCUUUACCAUGAUUCCUCACCGAGCGUAAUCAGUGCGAUUGAGAGAUUUCGUUUGUUGGAUAGUUUUCAAAAUGGCUCCAAUAAUAGUUCAGGAUUUAUGGAUGAAAUUGGUUGAAUAAGCGGUGGUAAAUUUAUUGGAAGUAAAUAUUUUGAAGUUAAAGAAUAAUUAUUAAAAGCAAUGAAAGUUUAAAAUAACAAG